UUUGCUAUGAUGAGGUAAAAACACUCAAGUGUUGAUGGGCAGUGGAUUUGGAUCUUUCAAUUUUUGAAGAUCUGCCGUGAGCCCUCUUUUUAAACGACUUCUCCUUCCACUGAGCUCU
rnacentral:snoRNA from 1 species